rfam:Cricetulus griseus cell line CHO-K1, whole genome shotgun sequence.
CCCUUGGUUCUCUUAGGAACCAUCAAAGAUAAUAAUAAUAAUAAUA